CAAUAGCGUAUAUUAAAGUUGUUGCAGUUAAAAAGCUCGUAGUUGGAUUUGUGGUGUACUUCGGCGGCCUGUCACUAUGUGAUGGAGCUUGCUGAAGUCGCCAUCCUUGGGUGGAUCCUGUGUGGCAUUAAGUUGUCGUGCAGGGGAUGCCCAUCGUUUACUGUGAAAAAAUUAGAGUGUUCAAAGCAGGCUUAUGCCGUUGAAUAUAUUAGCAUGGAAUAAUAAGAUAGGACCUUGGUACUAUUUUGUUGGUUUGCGCACCAAGGUAAUGAUUAAUAGGGACAGUUGGGGGUAUUCGUAUUUCAUUGUCAGAGGUGAAAUUCUUGGAUUUUUGAAAGACGAACUACUGCGAAAGCAUUUACCAAGGAUGUUUUCAUUAA
rnacentral:rRNA from 1 species